rnacentral:rRNA from 1 species
UACGGGGGGGGCAAGCGUUGUUCGGAAUUACUGGGCGUAAAGGGCUCGUAGGUGGCCAACUAAGUCAGACGUGAAAUCCCUCGGCUUAACCGGGGAACUGCGUCUGAUACUGGAUGGCUUGAGUUCGGGAGAGGGAUGCGGAAUUCCAGGUGUAGCGGUGAAAUGCGUAGAUAUCUGGAGGAACACCGGUGGCGAAGGCGGCAUCCUGGACGACACUGACCGCUGGAUGAGCGAAAGCCAGGGGAGCAAACGGG